CCUCUAGCGGCUCGGUCGGUAAUGGUCACAGUUCCGUUCGAUCCACAUAGAGGUAUGCAGAUACUCGAUAUGUUCUGGUACGAGAAGAGCCGGGGAAGAUCGAGUACAGUACCUAGUGCCUUAUUGUUUAACCGCGUGUACCUGUAAAUACGGCUUCGGGACGUUCUCUCGAGGCGAAGAUACAAUCAUCCACGUGGCAUCGAAGUGAACGAAAUACAUUGUGACCCGUUCGAACCUGAAGGCGCUUUUAACCCUGCUGCAGCUUUUGGAGAAUUGAUGAAAAUGAGGAAUGUGAUUACAUGUGUUUGGAAAAAGGACGAACACGAAGAGCCAGCGGGGACUAACCAAUACGAGCGGAAGAGCUGAAGGCGACGCAGCGGUGUCGGCGACGACGGCAAUGGAGUCGGUGAUGUUCGAGACACGGUGGUCGCUGUCGGUACGCGCUGCACCGACACUUUUGCCGAGUGCAAGCGACCCGACCAACCACGUGUCAACUUGUGCGAGGGUGCCCCUGCAACUCCUACUUCAACCUGCCCAACCGUGAGUCGCAUUCCCCUCUCCGCCCCUUUCCGCAGAUUCCUUUUCUUCGUUUCUUCUAUUCUCUUCUCGUUGGGUUGUCACACAUGAUAAACCUGAUUUUUAAUCCUUUAUUCGAAUAGUCUAUUUCCGAUUUAUUUUCUUUUUAUCGUGUUAUUAUUAUGGCUAAGAAUAAAAUAUCGUGGAUGCGUUUAUCUGGAUUCAACAUGAAACGAUAUUUAUUCUUAAAAUGUUAAUCACAAUAGAUCAAUUUUAAGAAUAAAAAAAGAGAAUGAAUUUCUAAAAAAUAAUUUGAAACACCGACUUAUUUGCGCAUAGAAUUCAACUAUAAACAUUUAGCUCGUUUCAUGUCAAAUCUAGAUAAACGCAUCCACGAUAUUUUAUUCUUAGCUAUAAUAAUAACACGAUAGAAAGAAAAUAAAUCGGAAAUAGACUAUUGGAAUAAAGGAUUAAAAAUCAGGAUCAACAGAUAAAAUGUUAAUCACAAUAGAUCAAUUUUAUCUGUUGAUCUCGUGUAUAGGGGGUAAAGAAAACAUACCUUUUGAAACGCGACAACUUUUUUAAAACUACGCCAAGUGACUUGAAAUUGUUUUUAGAUGAGAGAGGGACUAGUAUAACAAUGUCUAAAAUGCUUUCCUUUAAUUUUGCUAUUACAUGGAAUGGCAGAAAA